UGGGGAUUAUUGCACAAUGGAGGGAACUCUGAUGCAGCGACGCCGCGUGAACGAAGAAGGCUUUCGAGUCGUAAAGUUCUUUUAUAUGGGAAGAUAAUGACGGUACCAUAAGAAAAAGCCCCGGCUAACUACGUGCCAACAGCCGCGGUAAUACGUAGGGGGCUAGCGUUGUCCGGAAUCACUGGGCGUAAAGGGUUCGCAGGCGGAAAUGCAAGUCAGGUGUAAAAGGCAGUAGCUUAACUACUGUAAGCAUUUGAAACUGCAUAUCUUGAGAAGAGUAGAGGUAAGUGGAAUUUUUAGUGUAGCGGUGAAAUGCGUAGAUAUUAGGAGGAAUACCGGUGGCGAAGGCGACUUUCUGGCCAUAUACUGACGCUGAGGUACGAAAGCGUGGGUAGCAAACAGG
rnacentral:rRNA from 1 species